rnacentral:rRNA from 1 species
CACAAGCGGUGGAUCAUGUUGUUUAAUUCGACGAUACGCGAAGAACCUUACCAGGUCUUGACAUCCCCUGCAAAGCUAUGGAGACAUAGUGGAGGUUAUCAGGGAGACAGGUGGUGCAUGGUUGUCGUCAGCUCGUGUCGUGAGAUGUUGGGUUAAGUCCCGCAACGAGCGCAACCCUUAUUGCUAGUUACCAUCAUUAAGUUGGGGACUCUAGCGAGACUGCCAGUGAUAAACUGGAGGAAGGUGGGGGAUGACGUCAAAUCAUCAUGCCCCUUAUGACCUGGGCUACAAACGUGAUACAAUGGCUGAAACAAAGGGCAGCGAAGGAGCGAUCUGGAGCGAAACCCAAAAAAGCAGUCUCAGUUCGGAUUGAAGUCUGCAACUCGACUUCAUGAAGUCGGAAUCGCUAGUAAUCGCGGAUCAGAACGCCGCGGUGAAUACGUUCUCGGGGUUU